CUCUGUGACUCCUACGGGGAGGCAGCAGUGGGGAAUAUUGCACAAUGGGGGAAACCCUGAUGCAGCCAUGCCGCGUGUGUGAAGAAGGCCUUCGGGUUGUAAAGCACUUUCAGUAGGGAGGAAGGUAGUGUAGUUAACACCUGCAUUAUUUGACGUUACCUACAGAAGAAGCACCGGCUAACUCCGUGCCAGCAGCCGCGGUAAUACGGAGGGUGCGAGCGUUAAUCGGAAUUACUGGGCGUAAAGCGCAUGCAGGCGGCCUGUUAAGUCAGAUGUGAAAGACCCGGGGCUUAACCUCGGAAUUGCAUUUGAAACUGGCAGGCUAGAGUCUUGUAGAGGGGGGUAGGAAUUUCAGGUGUAGCGGUGAAAUGCGUAGAGAUCUGAAGGAAUACCAGUGGCGAAGGCGGCCCCCUGGACAAAGACUGACGCUCAGAUGCGAAAGCGUGGGGAGCAAACAGGAUUAGAUACCCUGGUAG
rnacentral:rRNA from 1 species